UACGGAGGGUGCAAGCGUUGUUCGGAUUUAUUGGGCGUAAAGCGCGCGCAGGCGGUCCUUUAAGUCUGAUGUGAAAGCCCACGGCUCAACCGUGGAGGGUCAUUGGAAACUGGGGGACUUGAGUGCAGAAGAGGAAAGCGGAAUUCCACGUGUAGCGGUGAAAUGCGUAGAGAUGUGGAGGAACACCAGUGGCGAAGGCGGCUUUCUGGUCUGUAACUGACGCUGAGGCGCGAAAGCGUGGGGAGCAAACAGG
rnacentral:rRNA from 1 species